rnacentral:tRNA from 1 species
GGUAAAAUGACUGAUUAUAAGUGAUAAAUUGUAAAUUUAUUUAUGAAUUUUUUUUUCUUUUACUA